AUGGCGGGCCGGGACGGCGGCCAUCUUGGGCCGGACCGGGUGUGCGGCCCCGGGGCCCCGCAGGACGCGGUCACCGUGGCGGUGAGGGCCUCGCUGUCCGGUUUUACUUCGUUUAGUCGAUAUUCAGCCUUCUGGAAGGAGGGUGUGCUGCAGACUGUGAUUUAUGGGUGCCACUUCCUUGCCCCUUCGCAGGCUGUGGUGCCACUCAGAAAUUAAUGAACAUAAAUCCGAAGAUACACUUGUAUACAGUAAUGAAGGUGUUUUGUUAAUGGGGCCAGUGUUUCCUUAUCCAUACCUUGACGCAGGCGUUAAUGGCUCUGCGUGGCCAUAAACUACUACUCGUAACAGCGGCAAAACUUAGGGCUGCUUUAUCGCUUCUAUCCUAUAUUUGGCAUUUCUGAGUGAAGACAAGGCUUAAAGAUUCCACUGCAAUGUAAGUGUCCUGGUUUGAGUUCUUACCAUUCACGUCAGGUCGCUGCUCGGGACCGACACAUUACCAUUUCCCCUCAAUGCCAAGGGAAUGGAGCUACUUUUCCGCCAGGAAGGAGUUCUGGAGAAGACGGGAAUGGAGCUUGGGGACGCGGUCCUGCUUUAGGAAUGACUCGCCCUCCUUCAGCUGGAGGACAGAUGGAACUUGGGGAAAUAAAUGUCUUCCUCUGUAGCCUAUGUCAACUCUACAGCUAUGUCACAUAAUUUAAAACCUCAUUCUUCAAUAAGGUUCACAAGACCUUUUCAAGGUUCAUUUGGAAGGUAGAAACAAGGAUUGCUGUUAAAAAUGUAUAGGCCCAUUGAGACGCAGGGGAACUAAAUCUCCCUAACAUUAGGCUAUAUUUCUGGGCAUCCCAUAU